rnacentral:rRNA from 1 species
AUUGAACGCUGGCGGCAUGCCUUACACAUGCAAGUCGAACGGCAGCGGGGGAGAAGCUUGCUUUUCCUGCCGGCGAGUGGCGAACGGGUGAGUAAUACAUCGGAACGUGCCCUGUAGUGGGGGAUAACUAGUCGAAAGAUUAGCUAAUACCGCAUACGACCUGAGGGUGAAAGUGGGGGACCGCAAGGCCUCAUGCUAUAGGAGCGGCCGAUGUCUGAUUAGCUAGUUGGUGGGGUAAAGGCCUACCAAGGCGACGAUCAGUAGCUGGUCGGAGAAGACGAUGAGCCACACUGGGACUGAGACACGGCCCAGACUCCGACGAGAGGCAGCUGUGGGGAAUUUUGGACAAUGGGCGAAAGCCUGAGCCAGCAAUGCCGCGUGUGUGAAGAAGGCCUUCGGGUUGUAAAGCACUUUUGUCCGGAAAGAAAUGGCUCUGGUUAAUACCUGGGGUCGAUGACGGUACCGGAAGAAUAAGGACCGGCUAACUACGUGCCAGCCGCCGCAGUAAAAC